rnacentral:tRNA from 1 species
GCGGACGUGGCGGAAUUGGUAGACGCACCAGAUUUAGGUUCUGACGCUGUAAGGCGUGCGAGUUCGAGUCUCGCCGUCCGCACCA